rnacentral:rRNA from 1 species
GCGAAGAACCUUACCUGGGUUUGACAUACACCCUGCCGCUCCAGAGAUGGGGCUUCUUUUGGGGGUGUACAGGUGGUGCAUGGCUGUCGUCAGCUCGUGUCGUGAGAUGUUGGGUUAAGUCCCGCAACGAGCGCAACCCUCGUUCUAUGUUGCCAGCAUGCCCUUCGGGGUGAUGGGGACUCAUAGGAGACUGCCGGGGUCAACUCGGAGGAA